rnacentral:tRNA from 1 species
UCUAUAGCUCAAUGGAUAGAGCACCUGACUACGGAUCAGGGGGUUGGGGGUUCAAGUCCUCCUAG